GUGUGCACAGAGCUGGGUGAUAAAGACAGAAGGGUGGGGCUAGCAAAAUAUUCCAAGAUGGCAAUGUUAUUUGUGUUCCUCCUCGGCCAAAAGGUGAAGGGUUCUCCUGAGGGGAGAGUUGUUUUCCCCAGCACCGAGUGGGACAAAGGAUAAGGAAGGCAGAUUUCUGUUUGUAGUGACUGUCGGUUUCGGCGAGAAAUUAUCCACUCCAGAUGAUGCCUAGAACGCCGUAAGAAUUCAGUAGUCCUUGCUGAAUGCCUCAAUGAAAAAGUUGGAGGAACGGAUAGACAGACAAACAGAUGCCAUGUAGAAUAAAUACAGAGAGGAUGCCACCUACCCCACAGGUGCCGCUUUCUUUAAUUGGACUUUCCAAGUCCCGACAUUGUUUUCAGAACAAAGGUUAUGUUUUGACAAAACUAAGUUAGUGUCUUCCGAAGAAUAAUUUUGGAGUCUAAAUGACUAUUCUUGAGAGUCUCCCUCUAAACAGGCCUGCAUUUUGCUUAGACCAAGGCGUCGUGACUGACAAGUGGAGGUUUGUUUUUUGUUUUUGUUUUUGCUUUUCUUCUUCUUUGUGUGAAAGUCUUGGCAGAAAUGUAUGACUGCCACAGCUAUGCAAUUUUUUUCCGGAUUCCUGCUGCUUUACAGCCCCUGAGAGAAAGACCUUGCUUCCAGGAGUUGUCUUAGUAGAUUGCCCAGAAGCCUCAAUAUCAGAAAAGACGAGAACAUCUGAACCCUGCUACAGCUGUUUUAAAGAAAAUAACUUCUUAAAACGCUCUUUUAGAACUGAACCUGAGCUCAGCACCGUAGGAAGGCUGGUGCACUAUGGAAGGAGAGCGCACCGUGGGAAGAACAGCGCACCGUGGGAAAGAUGGCGCACCAUGGGAAGGACGGCACACAGUGGGAAGGAUGGUGCCCUGGACAGAGUCCGAGAUUGAUUGGUUGGUGGCAAAUUGUGACUUUAUUUUGUUCCGUCAACUCCCACUCUAAAGCGGGUGGAAGAAAUAAACAGAAGAGAGCUGCACUGAGUCUGGCUUCGGUUUCUAUUUCCUGAGCUGCCUUCUUAAAGAAUUUGGCCAGAAAGUCGGCUAUUUGCAUACAGUGGGAUCUUGACAGACGCUGUACUUUAUCUCGGCUGCGUUGUAAAAAUGUGAACACGGAUAUUAGAAUCCACAGCAAAUCAGCGGCUGCUGAAGACAGCCUUGAAAAUGUAGUCAUUCCUAACUGAAUUAUCAUUGUGGAUGACGUUCUCUAUUCUGGACCUUGAAAAACUUCAGGGAAAAAAAAUCGGUAAUACAAACCACAUGGUUGCCUCCUUCUACCGCCAUUCUUGGCAGAGCGAGUGCUGCCUGGCAACGCUGCCGUCAGCUGGGCUGAGUAAUCAGGGCAGUAUUGCCCCAUAGUUAAAUCUAAUGCUUUCUUUCUGAGAACUCACCAGUGCAUGCUUUUUCUUCUUAUCAGUCUUCUUGGUAAUGUUUGAACAGGGCUUCUGUGCAUGAGGAGAACACGUCCCUGUAGAAGGAGUUGCUGAAAUAGUAAAAAAGAAAAGAAAAAAAAUCAUAAAGCCUUCUAAUGACUCUACAAAGGAAAGCGAAGGGGGAUGGAAGCUUGCAAGGAGUGCUUGCCUGUUGCUUUGGACUUUGGUCCCACAGAGGCCCGUGGCCCAGCCACACUGCUGGCCAAACUCCACUUUCUUCCCUGGGCCUUUUAGAAACACCUCCCUCCCUAUGGAAACUUGAAAGGCAAGCUUUCAAUAUAUGAAAGUUUGAGACCAGAAUCUAAAAACUUGUGAGGGAAAAAAAAUCUUUUUGUAUGUAGCCCUAACCAAAAUAAAAUAAAAUAAAUAAAAGCAGUAUUUCAAUUCCAGAACACUUAAAAGGACCUGUGCAUUUGGAUCAAAACCUAGAUGACGACAUCUAAUCCAGCAGACUGGGCUAGAGUUAAGAUGAUACAAAUAUGAUAAUGAUAAAGAAGCAUUUGAAGACAACCUUCCAGGAAAGAGGGGUCACUGGAGCAGCCAAAGCCACAAAGAGCAUAACUAAAGCCAUAUUAGAGUCAACAAGAUAUUAGAAUCCACCUGGUGGAAUUUUACUUUAGACAAAUGCAUCAACAAGGACUUCCUGAAACUCUUUCUAAUCCUUGCUGUUUCACCAAAAUAACAUAAAAGCCAGGCAAUGGUGGCAUACACCUUUAAUCCCAGCACUUGGGAGGCAGAGGCAGGAGGAUCUCUGUGAGUUCCAGGCCAGCCUGGUCUACAAAAUAAGUUCCAGGACAGCUAGGACUGCUAUACAGAGAAACCUGUUGA